rnacentral:misc_RNA from 1 species
GAUGAAGAACGUAGCGAAAUGCGAUACUUGGUGUGAAUUGCAGAAUCCCGUGAACCAUCGAGUCUUUGAACGCAAGUUGCGCCCGAAGCCAUUAGGCCGAGGGCACGCCUGCCUGGGCGUCACACGUCGUUGCCCCCCCCAUGUACUCCUUCGGGAUUGCGGGGGGCGGAUGAUGGCCUCCCGUGCGCCUCGCCGCGCGGUUGGCAUAAAUGCCAAGUCCUCGGCGACGCACGCCACGACAAUCGGUGGUUGCGAAACCUCGGUUGCCCGUCGUGUGCGGUCGUCGCGCAUCGAGGGCUCGAAAAAAUUGCCGAGUUCCGGCUCGGCUUUCAACGCGACCCCAGGUCAGGCGGGGUUACCCGCUGAAUUUAAGCAUAUCAAUAAGCGGAGGA